UGUAAGCGUAUACCAAAGUUGUUGCAGUUAAAACGCUCGUAGUCUGAAUUUGGCAGUUCCGGAUGUGUGCACGUCGUGUGCGCACUUCGCGGGGAUUGCUUUUGUGGUCUUGCGUAGGAUGAGGCACUUUUAUUAGUGAACGUCCUCACGCAACCACUUUUUACUGUGAGAAAAUCAGAGUGCUCAAAGCAGGCAUUUGCCGUGAAUGUAUUAGCAUGGAAUAAUAGAAUAGGACUUGGUUCUAUUUUGUUGGUUUGUUGGGACUGAGUAAUGAUUAAGAGGGACAGUUGGGGGCAUUUGUAUUUCGGUGCUAGAGGUGAAAUUCUUAGAUUACCGAAAGACAAACUGCUGCGAAAGCGUCUGCCAAGGAUGUUUUCAUUGA
rnacentral:rRNA from 1 species